UGGAGAUAAGGAACCAAUAACAAAUCUCUCUUUUGUGUGGUGUAUGAAGAGGUUACUUGACAAAUUACCAGGGAAUAGUACUUUCAACUUGAACCAUUUUGCAUCCACAGGCCGGUGGCAGCCCCAAGCACCAGGCUGUCUCUCCGUCUCCUUCCUCCAGGUGCUCCAGCCUGUCCUGAGCUGCUAGAGUCGCCCGUCUGUCCUGAGCUGCCAGAGUCGCCCGUCUGUCCUGAGCUGCCAGAGUCGCCCGUCUGUCCUGAGCUGCCAGAGUCGCCCGUCUGUCCUGAGCUGCCAGAGUCGCCCGUCUGUCCGGAGCUGCCGGAAUCUCCAGUCCAUUCGGGACCCGUUGCUAGGGUCCACAGUCCGAGGUCAGCGGCGAGGGUCGCCGCUCGAAAGGCGCCAUGGAGGCGGGUUAAGAAGCGGGUAAAGACAAUGAUGGAGUGGGGUCCAGUGCCGCCACCGCGGACAGACACCCACCCAGAACCUCCCCUAUACACCCACCCAGAACCUCCCCCCUUUUGGGGGGGGGGGUACUGUCACGUUCUGACCUUAGUUCUUUUGUUAUGUCUUUGUUUUAGAUCGUCAGGGCGUGAGUUGGGUAGGUUGUCUAAGUUCGUUUUUCUAUGUUGUGUUUUGUGUUUGGCCUGGUAUGGUCCUCAAUCAGAGGCAGGUGUCGUUAGUUGUCUCUGAUUGAGAAUCAGGCUUUUCCCACCUGUGUUUUGUGGGUGAUUAUUUUCUGUUGGUGUGUUUUGCACCUGACGGAGCUGUUUUGGUUGUGCUUUUUGUUUCUUUGUUUGAUAGUGUUCAGUUAAAAAAAAUAACCACGCUGUGCUUUGGUCCUCACCUUCUUCCACCGACGACCGUUAUCCCUUUCAUGCCCUGCCUCCAGUCCACUUGCCAAUAUCUGAACAAGAGAGCCUCAUCGAAAUUGCAACAAGUGGUUCAGUGAAAAUAUUAUUUCAUCAGAAGCCACUGCCAGAUUUCUGGAUUGGGCUGUGCUCAGAGUAACCUGCCUUCGCAAAUCGCGCUGUUAAGACACUUAUGCCCUUUGCAACCACUUACCUAUGUGAGAGUGGAAUCUCGGCCUUGACUAGCAUGAAAACGAAAUACAGGCACAGACUGUGUGUGGAAAAUGAUUUUAAGACAGACUCUUGAAGUUGUUAGCUAAUUUGUCCUGGGAUAUAAACUUUGGGUUGUUAAUUUACCUGAAAUGCACAAGGUUAUUUAGCUUUGGAGAAUUUUUAAUCGUGUUUUCAUCCACCCCCGACAAUUAAUCAACAGAUAAAAGGGAAAACUAGCUAGUUAGUUCAUGCUCUAGUAAUAUCUCCUCCUUCAGUCUUCCUUUUCUUCUUCUUCUUCUGUGGACUUUAUAUGAUGGUCGGAAAAUAACUUUAAGGGGCUUUACCACCACCAACUGGACUGGAGUGUGGGCUUCAGUUCAUCUUUCAAUCACCCACAUGGGUAUGUGCUCCUAAAAAUCUAUGAGGAGAUGGGAGAGGCGGUACUUGCAGCACGUCAUGCAUCAAAAAGAGAACCAGGUUCUAUUUUAGCCCUGGGCUCCAACUCUGGGUACCACUGGUUGACCACAUUAUCAAUUUCUCCAGAGAUGAG
rnacentral:lncRNA from 13 species